UACGUAGGGGGCAAGCGUUGUCCGGAAUCAUUGGGCGUAAAGCGCGUGUAGGCGGCCCGGUAAGUCCGCUGUGAAAGUCGGGGGCUCAACCCUCGAAUGCCGGUGGAUACUGUCGGGCUAGAGUGCGGGAGAGGCGAGUGGAAUUCUUGGUGUAGCGGUGAAAUGCGCAGAUAUCUGGAGGAACACCGGUGGCGAAGGCGGCAUCCUGGACCGGCAUUGACGCUGAGGCGCGAAAGCCAGGGGAGCAAACGGG
rnacentral:rRNA from 1 species